rnacentral:rRNA from 1 species
CUUAGAGUAAUGUCUAAGUAUCAUUAAGUGAAUACAUAGCUUAAUGAGGGGAACUCAGGGAACUGAAACAUCUAAGUACCUGAAGGAAGAGAAAGAAAUUCGAUUCCGUAAGUAGCGGCGAGCGAACGCGGAUUAGCACAAACCAAUAAAGUUUUCUUUAUUGGGGUUGAGGACAUACCACAUAUAAGAGGUCAUUAUAGACGAAGAAGUUUGGAAAAACUCAGCAUAGAAAGUAAAAAUCCUGUAGUCAAAAUCAUAAUUCUUU